UUGAACAUGAUGGACUGUAGGACAGGACUGCUGCUCUUAACUAUCUGCUGGGCAGGUGUUUGGGGUCAGACUCUGAUAGAAUCUGACCCGGCAGUAAAAAGACCUGGAGAAUCCCACAGACUGACCUGUACAACAUCUGGAUUCUCCUUCAGUGGCUCUCACAUGGCCUGGUUCAGACAGGCUCCUGGAAAAGGACUGGAGUGGAUCGCUUGGAUUCAGAGCGAUAGUAGUAACAUCUACUAUUCCCAGUCAGUCCAAGGUCGUUUCACCAUCUCCAGAGACAACGGCAGAAACCAGCUGUAUCUGCAGAUGAACAGUCUGAAAACUGAAGAUUCUGCUGUUUAUUAUUGUGCACGA